AGGGCCGAUAGCUCAGUUGGUUAGAGCUCCCGGCUCAUAACCGGGCGGUCGAAGGUUCAAGUCCUUCUGGUCCCACCA
rnacentral:tRNA from 1 species